rnacentral:rRNA from 1 species
AUUGAACGCUGGCGGCAGGCCUAACACAUGCAAGUCGAGCGAGCGGCGGACGGGUGAGUAAUGUCUGGGAAACUGCCUGAUGUAGGGGGGUAACUACUGGAAAAGGUGGCUAAUACCGCAUACCAUCAGCGGUGCCCAGAUGGGAUUAGCUAGUAGGUGGGGUGACGGCUCACCUAGGCGACGAGCCCUAGCGGGUCUGAGAGGAUGAGCAGCCAAACUGGAACUGAGACACGGUCCAGACUCCUACGGGAGGAAGCAGUGGGGAAUAUUGCACAAUGGGCGCAAGCCUGAUGCAGCCAUGCCGCGUGUGUGAAGAAGGCCUUCGGGUUGUAAAGCACUUUCAGCGGGGAGGCGUUACCCGCAGAAGAAGCACCGGCUAACUCCGUGCCAGCAGCCGCGGUAAUAC